AGUUUGAUUUUGGCUUUAAAAUAGUGGUUAGACUGAAGUCUCAUGGUAGUUUUGAUGAAAAGGGAAUAGGAAAAAAUAAAAAAAAAUUAAAAAUAGGUUUUGUUUUUAGUAGCUAAUAUAGAGUAUAGGUUGGUAUUUCUCAACACCAGUGCAGAAAGUUAAAUAUUAAGGUUACUUAGAUUUAUAAGUUUAUUAUGGGGUAGCUAAUUUUGUGCCAGCAGCUGCGGUUAAACAAAUGCCCCUAACUAUUUGUUUUUGGUAAUAUUAUAAGUUAAAGAGGUUUAUUAUUUAUUUUUUAAGGUAGGUAGAAUUUUUUAAAGGGCGAGUCCUUAGAAUAAAUAUAGCGGAUAAUGAAAUUUAGGUAUAAACUAGGAUUAGAUACCCUAUUAUUCUUAAGGUAAAUUAUUACUUGGUUAUUAGAGGUAGAUACCUGAAAACUAAAAGAUUUGGCGGUUCUUUAUAUUCAGGGGAACUUGUUGUUUGAUAUGAUAAUCCCCAUUUAUCUCUUUUCUUUUUGGUUUGUGUAUUUCCGUUAUCGGUUUAUUUUUAGAAAAUAUUGUAAAAAACAAAAAACAUAAUUGUUUAAUUUCAGGUUAAAUGCAGCCUAUAGAAAAGUACAAAUGAGUUACAUUAAAGAGAAAAGUCUAUAUAUUUAGUGUGUGUAGUUCAGGACUUGAAAGUAAUAAGAAAAAACUAGUUUUUUUGAAAGUAGAGAAAAGAAUGUACAUAUCGCCCGUCGCUCUCAUGUGUGAGAUAAGUCGUAACAUAGUAAGGUUAGUGGAAGCUGGUCUUAG
rnacentral:ncRNA from 1 species